rnacentral:rRNA from 1 species
CGGGAGGCAGCAGUGGGGAAUAUUGGACAAUGGGGGCAACCCUGAUCCAGCCAUGCCGCGUGUGUGAAGAAGGUCUUCGGAUUGUAAAGCACUUUAAGUUGGGAGGAAGGGCAUUAACCUAAUACGUUAGUGUUUUGACGUUACCGACAGAAUAAGCACCGGCUAACUCUGUGCCAGCAGCCGCGGUAAUACAGAGGGUGCGAGCGUUAAUCGGAAUUACUGGGCGUAAAGCGAGUGUAGGUGGCUCAUUAAGUCACAUGUGAAAUCCCCGGGCUUAACCUGGGAACUGCAUGUGAUACUGGUGGUGCUAGAAUAUGUGAGAGGGAAGUAGAAUUCCAGGUGUAGCGGUGAAAUGCGUAGAGAUCUGGAGGAAUACCGAUGGCGAAGGCAGCCAUCUGGCCUAAUACUGACGCUGAGGUACGAAAGCAUGGGGAGCAAACAGGAUUAGAUACCCUGGUAGUCCAUGCCGUAAACGUUGGGCACUAGGUGUGGGGGACAUUCCACGUUUUCCGCGCCGUAGCUAACGCAUUAAGUGCCCCGCCUGGGGAGUACGGCCGCAAGGCUAAAACUCAAAGGAAUUGACGGGGGCCCGCACAAGCGGCGGAGCAUGUGGAUUAAUUCGAUGCAACGCGAAGAACCUUACCUGGUCUUGACAUCCACGGAACUUUCCAGAGAUGGAUUGGUGCCUUCGGGAACCGUGAGACAGGUGCUGCAUGGCUGUCGUCAGCUCGUGUCGUGAGAUGUUGGGUUAAGCCCCGCAACGAGCGCAACCCUCGUUCUAUGUUGCCAGCACGUGAUGGUGGGGACUCAUAGGAGACUGCCGGGGUCAACUCGGAGGAAGGUGGGGAUGACGUCAAAUCAUCAUGCCCCUUAUGUCUUGGGCUUCACGCAUGCUACAAUGGCCGGUACAAUGGGUUGCGAUACUGUGAGGUGGAGCUAAUCCCAAAAAGCCGGUCUCAGUUCGGAUUGGGGUCUGCAACUCGACCCCAUGAAGUCGGAGUCGCUAGUAAUCGCAGAUCAGCAACGCUGCGGUGAAUACGUUCCCGGG